rnacentral:lncRNA from 1 species
AUGCAUGUCCUGAUUCCGCCACUAGAGGUCACUGUCCCACCACAAUCUCCCCACGCCGAGUUCCACCUCCCUUCCCUCUUAACUCAAAUUAGCACGGUAUUAAUUAACACUGUAGUCUAUCAACCGGCGUUCCUCGGCACACUGCAAAGGCAGGGUUUGUGUAGAACAAAGAAAACAACAACAAACACUAACGUUCAUUUUAUUUUCCAAGGGCCACCAAACAAAUCCUUCGUCAUCCCUCACAAACCGGAAGGCGGACGUCCAAGAAUCAGACAUCUGGAGAUAAUGAUACGGCAUGACAAUCACACAAAAAAGAUGCAGGACUUUUCUAACUUGAUCUGAAGAUGCCAGGCAAGGUGUGUUCUCUGCCACUAAGAGAGAGAGAGAGAGAGAGAAACAAGCUUACUUUUGGAGAUAUUUUACACAGAGGAAGGAAGACAGUGAUUCAAAGAUACUGAAACUGCAAUGCUGUACCCAUAUACAUGUAAGUUGUCACCAUUUGUUAUGGUAGGACUUACUUUCGAGAAACCAUGUAUAAGAUUGUACAUAGAUGCUUUUUAAAUGAUAAGUCACAUAAACUGCUGCGUUAGGCUGCAUCACGACUCCCUCUCAUCCAUGUUUUGUUGUUCCGUGCUGCCAUCUGACAUGGCAACCCUUAUUGAGUUUUCAAAU